GAUGAACGCUGGCGGCGUGCCUAACACAUGCAAGUCGAGCGAGGGUUUGCUCAGUAUUGAGUAUUCUAAGACUAGAAUGUUCAAUUCUGAGCAAAACCAAGCGGCGGACGGGUGAGUAACGCGUGGGUAACCUGCCCUAUACACAUGGAUAACAUACUGAAAAGUUUACUAAUACAUGAUAAUAUAUAUUUGCGGCAUCGCAGAUAUAUCAAAGUGUUAGCGGUAUAGGAUGGACCCGCGUCUGAUUAGCUAGUUGGUGAGAUAACUGCCCACCAAGGCGACGAUCAGUAGCCGACCUGAGAGGGUGAUCGGCCACAUUGGAACUGAGACACGGUCCAAACUCCUACGGGAGGCAGCAGUGGGGAAUAUUGCACAAUGGGCGAAAGCCUGAUGCAGCAACGCCGCGUGAACGAUGAAGGUCUUCGGAUCGUAAAGUUCUGUUGCAGGGGAAGAUAAUGACGGUACCCUGGAGGAAGCCCCGCA
rnacentral:rRNA from 1 species